rnacentral:lncRNA from 1 species
CGUGGAUUUAAAAUAUGGGUUAUUCAGUAUGCUUGUGCUGGGAUAUUAGGUUUUAAUGAAUUUUAAGUUAUGGAGUCGUAGGAUAGUUUGGAGUAUUACUAUUAUAAUGGAUUAGAAAUGUAGUAGUGUCUGGUAUCUUCUUCUGUAUUGGCGAAGCAGAGUUUUCUGUAUAAUGAAUUUUAAGUUAUGGAGUCGUAGGAUAGUUUGGAGUAUUACUAUUAUAAUGGAUGAGAAAUGUGGUAGUGUCUGGUACCUUCUACUGUAUUGGCGAAGCAAAGUUUUCUGUAUAUGAUUAUGAAGCUCCCAUUUCCUUUAUGUACUAAAUCCAGUUUUCUUGUGUUUUCGUUUUGGUGCAAAGUUUCAAACUUCAG